UACGAAGGGUGCAAGCGUUAAUCGGAAUUACUGGGCGUAAAGCGCGCGUAGGUGGUUCAGCAAGUUGGAUGUGAAAGCCCUGGGCUCAACCUGGGAACUGCAUCCAAAACUACUGAGCUAGAGUUGAGUAGAGGUAAGUGGAAUUUCAGGUGUAGCGGUGAAAUGCGUAGAUAUCUGAAGGAACACCAGUGGCGAAGGCGACUUACUGGACUCAAACUGACGCUGAGGUACGAAAGCGUGGGUAGCAAACAGGAUUAGAAACCCGAGUAGU
rnacentral:rRNA from 1 species